UAACAUGUGAAUAUCCAUCUCAAUUAUCUAAAAGAAGACAUGCAAACAAAUUAGAAGUUUGGAGUAUUCAAAUAAAUGAAAACUUUGAUACUGUAAAUCCCUUUUAUGUAUAGGCAAUGAUACCCAGUCCUAAAAUAUGUAACAUUCCUACAAUAUGCACAUAAACCAUAAUAGUUUUUAGCUAGUACUUACGUAAGAUUUGGUAGAAUCCACUAUAAGUUUGUACGCUAGGAAAAUUUGAGUAAUACAUAUCUACUUGAAUAAAUAAUUUCAUCAAACUAAAAACCCUCUACUUAAUCUCAAUUUAAUAUACAACUUUGAGUAAUACAUAGGUACGGAGGGCAUUGAACCCAAGCUCAGGUGGCCAAUUAAAACUAAUAAAUUUCCAGAAUCAAACACAAUGAAUUAGGAGGGUUUGGCAUGUUUUGCAAUGGAAUACAAAAUGCAAUGGAGUAAUAAUCUAUCUGGGCAAAGUUGGAAAUAACUGGACGACAACAUGAGACAUUAACAACAGUUGGGAUAGGGAUGCUUAGGUGGUUCAGCAUAUCUUCUCAAGCAGAUCUGAACGACAGAUGGGAAGACUAUGCAAGAACAGGGGGAUGGAAUGGCACCAUUGCUGAUGGGAAGUGAUGUGAGAUCUAUGACUCCAGGGACAAGAGAGAUUCUUUGCAAUGCAGUCAAUCAAGGCAAGUUGGUUGUGAAAAAAGCAUAGAAGAUCAGCACAAUUUAUAGGCAAGGAGGAGCCAGCUUUCCAAGCAGCUGCGCAUUAGGCUUCUCUGACUGUCUUUUCUUUUCUCUUCAUAUGAGUAGAAACAGUUGGAUCAAUUCGAAGAGGUUCAGAACAAGCUUGUGGAAGAAUUGGGCUCUGUCGAUAUAUUUUGCAGAGGAGUAGGGUUAAGCAGCAUUCAUAAUUUUCUACGAAAUUGGAAAGUGGGUUGACUGGAGGAAGGUUCAUGACGGAAGAAGUACAGUUGGAGGAGAAACCAUCUUCAUUGCCAUUGAGAAAAGCAAAAAAAUCUUGUGAAAGAAAUUCACCUACCUCACCAUACCCACAGGCAAAGUGCAGGACUGUCCGACCUUUUGAGUCUGCUCCAUCUUCAUCAGCACCGCUUGAGAGGACAUUCUUCAAUCCCUGCAUUCACCCCUCACAAAAAAAGCCAAGCGAGAUUUUGUAAGUUUCAAGUAAACAAUGAUCCAUCAAACAAGACAGUUCAUGAAGAAAAUUUAGGAAACAUAAAAUGAUUAUAAACAAUUGUAAACCACAUAAGAAGUUCAAAGAUACCAAAUGUA